GCUUACGGCCAUACCAACCUGGCUAUGCCUUAUCUCGUCUGAUCUCGGGAAGCUAAGCAGGUUUGGGCCUGGUUAGUACUUGGAUGGGAGACCGCCUGGGAACACCAGGUGCUGUAAGCU
rnacentral:rRNA from 1 species